GAUGAACGCUGGCGGCGUGCCUAAUACAUGCAAGUCGAGCGAACGGACGAGAAGCUUGCUUUUCUGAUGUUAGCGGCGGACGGGUGAGUAACACGUGGAUAACCUACCUAUAAGACUGGGAUAACUUCGGGAAACCGGAGCUAAUACCGGAUAAUAUUUUGAACCGCAUGGUUCAAAAGUGAAAGACGGUCUUGCUGUCACUUAUAGAUGGAUCCGCGCUGCAUUAGCUAGUUGGUAAGGUAACGGCUUACCAAGGCAACGAUGCAUAGCCGACCUGAGAGGGUGAUCGGCCACACUGGAACUGAGACACGGUCCAGACUCCUACGGGAGGCAGCAGUAGGGAAUCUUCCGCAAAGGGCGAAAGCCUGACGGAGCAACGCCGCGUGAGUGAUGAAGGUCUUCGGAUCGUAAAACUCUGUUAUUAGGGAAGAACAUAUGUGUAAGUAACUGUGCGCAUCUUGACGGUACCUAAUCAGAAAGCCACGGCUAACUACGUG
rnacentral:rRNA from 1 species